rnacentral:tRNA from 1 species
GCCGGCGUAGCUCAAUUGGCAGAGCAACGGAAUCGUAAUCCGUAGGUUGUCUGUUCAACUCAGAUCGCCGGCUCCA